UUUCCGUAGGUGAACCUGCGGAAGGAUCAUUACAAAUCCAUCCACGUCUCCUCCUUUGAGGCAGACCACGUUGAAAUGUUCCCUAGCGCGCGUUCCGUCUCGUCCAUGAUCAUCAUCAUCAUCUGUGCGCUCAGCCUUUACCGGCCAGAGACAGGAGGUGUGUUGUAUUGUACUUGACGGCGGCGGCGGCGCUAGGCUUGUAAACUAGUAUCAUCUGUUGCUCAAUUGUAUCUUUCUUGAUUGUAAUGAUCAAGGUGCAAACGCAAAGUACAACUUAUAACAAUGGAUCUCUAGGCUCUU
rnacentral:misc_RNA from 1 species